rnacentral:rRNA from 1 species
UCCGUAGGUGGCGUAGUAAGUUGAAAGUUAAAACUCAUCGGCUUAACCUUUGAGGUGCUUUCAAUACUGCUACACUAGAGGGCGUUAGGGGUUAACGGAACCGACGGAGUAGGGGCGAAAUCCGUUGAUAUCGUCGGGAACACCAAAAGCGAAGGCAGUUAACUAGGACGACCCUGACACUGAGGGACGAAAGCGUGGGGAGCAAAAAGGAUUAGAUACCCUUGUAGUCCACGCUGUAAACGAUGAAUACUGGCUAUUUGAAGUGUCGACCCUUCAAGUGGCGAAGCAAACGCGUUAAGUAUUCCGCCUGGGAAGUACGGUGGCAACACUAAA